rnacentral:rRNA from 1 species
GAUGAACGCUGGCGGCGCGCCUAAUACAUGCAAGUCGAGCGAAUGGAUUAAGAGCUUGCUCUUAUGAAGUUAGCGGCGGACGGGUGAGUAACACGUGGGUAACCUGCCCAUAAGACUGGGAUAACUCCGGGAAACCGGGGCUAAUACAGGAUAACAUUUUGAACCGCAGGGUUCGAAAUUGAAAGGCGGUUUCGGCUGUCACUUAUGGAUGGACCCGCGUCGCAUUAGCUAGUUGGUGAGGUAACGGCUCACCAAGGCAACGAUGCGUAGCCGACCUGAGAGGGUGAUCGGCCACACUGGGACUGAGACACGGCCCAGACUCCUACGGGAGGCAGCAGUAGGGAAUCUUCCGCAAUGGACGAAAGUCUGACGGAGCAACGCCGCGUGAGUGAUGUAGGCUUUCGGGUCGUAAAACUCUGUUGUUAGGGAAGAACAAGUGCUAGUUGAAUAAGCUGGCACCUUGACGGUACCUAACCAGAAAGCCACGGCUAACUACGUGCCAGCAGCCGCCGUAA